AAAAAUUAGCAAAUAUUGUGUAAGUAAUUCUAGAAAAGGACUGGUCUAGGAUUGGAGAUAAAAUGUAAAUUUGUGGAUUGGUGUUUCGGUCGCAAAUGACAGAAAACCCAAAUCAAAUUGGUUUAAGCCAGAAAGAGAAUUUACUAGCUGAAGUGUAUGGCUAGAUAUAUGGAUUCAAAUAUCCCUGGGAACCAGUCUCUCUCCAUCUCAGCUCUCUUCUCCAUGUCGGCUUCCUUCUCGGGCUCUGUAUAGUUGUGAGAUGACUGCCAGCACCUCUAGAGCAGCAUCCUCCAGGUUCAAAUUUAGUGA